rnacentral:rRNA from 1 species
GCAGCAACGCCGCGUGGAGGAUGACGCAUUUCGGUGUGUAAACUCCUUUUAUAAGGGAAGAUAAUGACGGUACCUUAUGAAUAAGCACCGGCUAACUCCGUGCCAGCAGCCGCGGUAAUACGGAGGGUGCAAGCGUUACUCGGAAUCACUGGGCGUAAAGGAUGCGUAGGCUGGAAAUCAAGUCGAGAGUGAAAUCCAACGGCUCAACCGUUGAACUGCUCUCGAAACUGGUUACCUAGAAUAUGGGAGAGGUAGAUGGAAUUGGUGGUGUAGGGGUAAAAUCCGUAGAUAUCACCAGGAAUACCGAUUGCGAAGGCGAUCUACUGGAACAUUAUUGACGCUGAGGCAUGAAAGCGUGGGGAGCAAACAGGAUUAGAUACCCUGGUAGUCCACGCCCUAAACGAUGCACACUAGUUGUUGCGAUGCUAGUCAUUGCAGUAAUGCACUUAACAGAUUAAGUGUGCCGCCUGGGGAGUACGGUCGCAAGAUUAAAACUCAAAGGAAUAGACGGGGACCCGCACAAGCGGUGGAGCAUGUGGUUUAAUUCGAAGAUACACGAAGAACCUUACCUGGCCUUGAUAUCCUAAGAAUCCUUUAGAGAUAAGGGAGUGCUAGUUUACUAGAACUUAGAGACAGGUGCUGCACGGCUGUCGUCAGCUCGUGUCGUGAGAUGUUGGGUUAAGUCCCGCAACGAGCGCAACCCUCGUGAUUAGUUGCUAACAGUUCGGCUGAGCACUCUAAUCAGACUGCCUUCGCAAGGAGGAGGAAGGUGAGGACGACGUCAAGUCAUCAUGGCCCUUAUGGCCAGGGCUACACACGUGCUACAAUGGCUAGGACAAAGAGACGCGAUACUGCGAAGUGGAGCAAAUCUUAAAACCUAGUCUCAGUUCGGAUUGGAGUCUGCAACUCGACUCCAUGAAGCUGGAAUCGCUAGUAAUCGUAGAUCAGAUAUGCUACGGUGAAUACGUUCCCGGGUCUUGUACUC